rnacentral:rRNA from 1 species
GACGAACGCUGGCGGCGUGCCUAAUACAUGCAAGUAGAACGCUGAAGAGAGGAGCUUGCUCUUCUUGGAUGAGUUGCGAACGGGUGAGUAACGCGUAGGUAACCUGCCUUGUAGCGGGGGAUAACUAUUGGAAACGAUAGCUAAUACCGCAUAACAAUGGAUGACACAUGUCAUUUAUUUGAAAGGGGCAAUUGCUCCACUACAAGAUGGACCUGCGUUGUAUUAGCUAGUAGGUGAGGUAACGGCUCACCUAGGCGACGAUACAUAGCCGACCUGAGAGGGUGAUCGGCCACACUGGGACUGAGACACGGCCCAGACUCCUACGGGAGGCAGCAGUAGGGAAACUUCGGCAAUGGGGGCAACCCUGACCGAGCAACGCCGCGUGAGUGAAGAAGGUUUUCGGAUCGUAAAGCUCUGUUGUAAGUCAAGAACGAGUGUGAGAGUGGAAAGUUCACACUGUGACGGUAGCUUACCAGAAAGGGACGGCUAACUACGUG